rnacentral:rRNA from 1 species
ACGAACGCUGGCGGCGUGCUUAACACAUGCAAGUCGAACGGAAAGGCCUGCUUUCCCUUGUGGAUUGCGGGUACUCGAGUGGCGAACGGGUGAGUAACACGUGAGUGAUCUGCCCCCAACUUGGGUAUAAGCCUGGGAAACUGGGUCUAAUUCCCGAUAGGACUGCAGGGUGGUGCCUGUGGUGGAAAACGAUUUUCUAGUGGUUGGGGAUGAGCUCGCGGCCUAUCAGCUUGUUGGUGGGGUAAUGGCCUACCAAGGCGGCGACGGGUAGCCGGCCUGGGAGGGUGGACGGCCACAUUGGGACGGAGAUACGGCCCAGACUCCUACGGGGGGCAGCAGUGGGGAAUAUUGCACAAUGGGCGGAAGCCUGAUGCAGCGACGCCGCGUGGGGGAUGACGGCCUUCGGGUUGUAAACUCCUUUCGACCGCGAGGAAGCCACCUGGUUGGAAGGGUGGUGACGGUAGUGGUAGAAGAAGCACCGGCUAACUACGUG